rnacentral:rRNA from 1 species
CGGAAUUAUUGGGCGUAAAGAGCUCGUAGGCGGUUUGUCGCGUCUGCUGUGAAAUCCGGAGGCUCAACCUCCGGCCUGCAGUGGGUACGGGCAGACUAGAGUGCGGUAGGGGAGAUUGGAAUUCCUGGUGUAGCGGUGGAAUGCGCGGAUAUCAGGAGGAACACCGAUGGCGAAGGCAGAUCUCUGGGCCGUAACUGACGCUGAGGAGCGAAAGGGUGGGGAGCAAACAGGCUUAGAUACCCUGGUAGUCCACCCCGUAAACGUUGGGAACUAGUUGUGGGGUCCAUUCCACGGAUUCCGUGACGCAGCUAACGCAUUAAGUUCCCCGCCUGGGGAGUACGGCCGCAAGGCUAAAACUCAAAGGAAUUGACGGGGACCCGCACAAGCGGCGGAGCAUGCGGAUUAAUUCGAUGCAACGCGAAGAACCUUACCAAGGCUUGACAUAUACGAGAACGGGCCAGAAAUGGUCAACUCUUUGGACACUCGUAAACAGGUGGUGCAUGGUUGUCGUCAGCUCGUGUCGUGAGAUGUUGGGUUAAGUCCCGCAACGAGCGCAACCCUCGUUCUAUGUUGCCAGCACGUAAUGGUGGGAACUCAUGGGAUACUGCCGGGGUCAACUCGGAGGAAGGUGGGGAUGACGUCAAAUCAUCAUGCCCCUUAUGUCUUGGGCUUCACGCAUGCUACAAUGGCCGGUACAAAGGGCUGCAAUACCGCGAGGUGGAGCGAAUCCCAAAAAGCCGGUCCCAGUUCGGAUUGAGGUCUGCAACUCGACCUCAUGAAGUCGGAGUCGCUAGUAAUCGCAGAUCAGCAACGCUGCGGUGAAUACGUUCCCGGGUCUUGUACACACCGCCCGUCAAGUCAUGAAAGUCGGUAACACCUGAAGCCGGUGGCCUAACCUUUUGGAGGGAGCCGUCGAAGGUGGGA